rnacentral:rRNA from 1 species
UACAGAGGUCUCGAGCGUUAGGCGGAAUCACUGGGCGUAAAGCGCACGUAGGCGGAUCUUUAAGUCAGGGGUGAAAUCCUGGAGCUCAACUCCAGAACUGCCUUUGAUACUGGGGAUCUCGAGUCCGGAAGAGGUGAGUGGAACUCCGAGUGUAGAGGUGAAAUUCGUAGAUAUUCGGAAGAACACCAGUGGCGAAGGCGGCUCACUGGUCCGGUACUGACGCUGAGGUGCGAAAGCGUGGGGAGCAAACAGG